GGUGCAUUAGCUCAGUGGUAGAGCUGCGGUUUCAUACGCCGUCGGUCGGUAGUUCGAAUCUACCAUGCACCACCA
rnacentral:tRNA from 1 species